ensembl:lncRNA SNHG16 small nucleolar RNA host gene 16
ACAAUUUGAUGAGAAAAAAAUAGUUUGCGUGUGCUGUGGCUGUUAGUGCUAUGGUCCAGCAGGUGCAGUCAGCCUCAGUUUCCAAAGCCGGAAAAGGAUCCUCUAGUAGCCACGGUGUGGCAGCUGCUCUGAACCAGGACCUGGACCCGGACCCAAAGUGCCAUGUCUUUAAUGUUAGCUCCCAGCGAUGCCAGAUGGGAUCAGCACAGCCCUGCCUCUGCUGCUAAUUGUUCCUCUAAAGUAAUCGCCAUGCGUUCUUUGGGCUUCAUCUUUAAAGGAAUGAAGCAACUGAGAUUAUUCUGGAAAACCUUUUGGCAGUUAGUGAAAUUAGAGUACAACUAAGAACAUUUUCAGACCUCCACUGUGGAUGACCUGGGUAUAAUCUCACAAAUCGAUGGGACUGCAAGGAUUGUAAACUGAAAUGAACAUGAUUAUACUCUGUUGGAAGAGCCUAAGAGGAAACUGAUGCCAUGAGUUUCAGAGAGUAAUGCUUAACCCCAGUUACACAGGAUGCCGUCUUGUGUUUCCUCUUGUUUAGUUACCCACUACAGUGAUUUUGUGAUCUGCUAAUGGGUUGCCACCCACAACCAUUGCUUUAGCACUUUUACUUCAAAUCAAUGAAGGAUUGAUAAAAGUUC